GUAUAUAAUCGUUUAAGUUUUUAAUUGAUUUAAACUGAUAUAUCAUUAGACAUUUAGUGGAAGAUAUCUAGUGAAAGUCAUUAAAGCGUUAAUAAGUAAUGUAGGGAAGAAGUGUAGAAACAUUAUAAGCAAACACUCUUGUCAUAACAGAUUUAACUUAUUCCAAAAGAAAUUUAACAAUUGAUACCGCGAGGAAGUCAUUGUCGGCUGGAUUUUCUGAGCGUUUCAAUGCUUCUUCUUUUUGCUGUUCGGUAAAUACUUCAGUUCCGCGGAGAACUUUUACCAUCGUAUUGACAACUUCUGUGCUAAACUCUGGAUGUCCUUGAAAUGUUAGUGCCUGUCGAGGCUUGUAAAAUAUUUGAAAUUCACAAUCUUCAGUAGAACCCAAUAGCUCAAACCCUUCGGGAACAUCAACUGCCAUGUCUUGAUGCAUUUGGUUAAUAUUGAUGACUUUUCUACCAAAGAACUUCUCCCCGUUUUCAGUAAGUUGAACAACAGUAGAAGAAACUUCCCAUCCUUUAGGAUUUUGAAUAAUAGGAACGCCGGCAGCUUUGGCAACGAUUUGAUGACCAAAACAGAGACCUACAAUUUUAAUAUGUGGGUAUUUAAAUAAAACGUCUUUCACAAAGCUUAUCAAUUUCUUUAUCCAAGGAGCGUCGCUUGUUGCAGAUGCUUUGGAGCCGGUUAUAAUGAUUGCGUUUAUAUUUGGAAAAUCUUCUUUUUGAGGAUAAUCGUUUGGAUUCUUAUAUACCUCGUAAGUUUUGGUAACUAAGUUCCAUUCUGUAGAAUAAUAUUCGGAACCUGAUUGAAGCAACGAUUUAACCAUAUCUGCAUAAUCACCGUAUGCGCUGGUGAUUUCUACCAUUGGUGUAUCUGCGUUCAGAAUCGCAAUAUGAUAAUCCAUUUUCAAAUUAAAAUCUUUUUAGUUGAUAAAUAAAAGCCUUGG